GAUGAACGCUGGCGGCGUGCCUAAUACAUGCAAGUCGAGCGAACAGACGAGGAGCUUGCUCCUCUGACGUUAGCGGCGGACGGGUGAGUAACACGUGGAUAACCUACCUAGAAGACUGGGAUAACUGCGGGAAACGGGAGCUAAUACCGGAUAAGAUAUUGAACCGCAUGGUUCAAUAGUGAAAGACGGUUUUGCUGUCAAUUAUGGAUUGAUCCGCGCCACAUUAGCUAGUUGGGAAGGUAACGGCUUACCAAGGCAACGGUGCGUAGCCGACCUGAGAGGGUGAACGGCCACACUGGAACUGAGACACGGCCCCGACUCCUACGGGAGGCAGCAGUAGGGAAUCUUCCGCAAUGGGCGAAAGCCUGACGGAGCAACGCCGCGUGAGUGAUGAAGGUCUUCGGAUCGUAAAACUCUGUUAUUAGGGAAGAACAAAUGUGUAAGUAACUAUGCACGUCUUGACGGUACCUAAUCAGAAAGCCACGGCUAACUACGUG
rnacentral:rRNA from 1 species